rnacentral:rRNA from 1 species
CAGUAUUUACCGCAUGGUAGAUAUUUGAAAGGAGCAAUUGCUUUCACUAUGAGAUGGACCUGCGUUGUAUUAGCUAGUUGGUGAGGUAACGGCUCACCAAGGCAUCGAUACAUAGCCGACCUGAGAGGGUGAUCGGCCACACUGGGACUGAGACACGGCCCAGACUCCUACGGGAGGCAGCAGUAGGGAAUCUUCGGCAAUGGGGGCAACCCUGACCGAGCAACGCCGCGUGAGUGAAGAAGGUUUUCGGAUCGUAAAGCUCUGUUGUAAGAGAAGAACUGUGAGAGGAGUGGAAAGUUUCUCACUUGACGGUAUCUUAC